UACGGAGGGGGCUAGCGUUGUUCGGAAUUACUGGGCGUAAAGGGCUUGUAGGCGGCCAACUAAGUCCGACGUGAAAUCCCCAGGCUUAACCUGGGAACUGCGUCGGAUACUGGAUGGCUUGAAUUCGGGAGAGGGAUGCAGAAUUCCAGGUGUAGCGGUGAAAUGCGUAGAUAUCUGGAGGAAUACCGGUGGCGAAGGCGGCAUCCUGGACCGACAUUGACGCUGAGGAGCGAAAGCUAGGGGAGCAAACGGG
rnacentral:rRNA from 1 species